GAUGAAGAACGUAGCGAAAUGCGAUAAGUAAUGUGAAUUGCAGAAUUCAGUGAAUCAUCGAAUCUUUGAACGCACCUUGCACCCUUUGGCUAUUCCGAAGGGUAUGCCUGUUUGAGUAUCAUGAACACCUCAACUCUCAUGGUUUGCCAUGAUGAGCUUGGACUUUGGUGGUCUUGCUGGCCUGUGGUCAGCUCCUCUCAAAUGGAUUAGCUUGCCAGUGUUUGGUGGCAUCACAGGUGUGAUAACUAUCUACGCUUGUGGUUUUCCACCAGGUAACCUUCAGCAAUGGGGGUUCGCUGGGGCUCAUAAAUGUCUCUCCUCAGUGAGGACAGCUCUUUGAACGUUUGAUCUCAAAUCAGGUAGGACUACCCGCUGAACUUAAGCAUAUCAAUAAGCGGAGGA
rnacentral:misc_RNA from 1 species